rnacentral:misc_RNA from 1 species
UCAGGUUGGGAGUUUUGUCUCCUAGGGUCCAUUGGCCCGUUAACACGCUUGCCUUUUUGCGUACCUUCUAUUUCCUCGGCAGGCCUGCCUGCCGUUAGGGACUUUCAACCAACCUAUUUUGUAAUCUCAGCAUUAACAUUCUGAUAACCCUUUCAAUCUUA